UGGUGGAUUCUGUCCUGGGCCGUGUAUUCAAUUGCGAAUAACACUCUUACCUAAAGCUGUUAUUGCUUGAGAAUACACGUCGCCGGACCAGACGCAUUCUU
rnacentral:pre_miRNA from 1 species